GGGGAUUUAGCUCAGUGGUAGAGCGCUUGCCUAGCAAGCGCAAGGCCCUGGGUUCGGUCCCCAGUUCCUA
rfam:Rattus norvegicus chromosome 7, whole genome shotgun sequence.